GAUUGGUGCUUUAUUGCAGGGCUCUGAUCUUUCUGGUUUUGGGGAUCCUGACUGCUUUUAAGGGCUGGAAGCUGUAAGGGCAGCAUCUCUGCAUGGAGGCUGCUUCCUUCGGGGUGUGGGCUGAGUGUUUGUUUUUGGAAUGGGGUCAUUGGUUUUUUCUGUAUUGCUGGAUUGUAAUUUCACUUUCUGGGAGCUGCUGACCACAUUUAAGGUCUGUCAGCAGAAGGAGCAGCAACUGCACCUGGAGGCUGCUUCCUUUAGAGCGUGGGGUGAACCCUUGAAACGGGGUGAGUGAGUCUUUAUUCCAGGGUUGCAAUAUCUUGUUUUUGGGGGGAUCUUGACCCCGCUUAAGGGCUGGCAGCCUUUAAGGUGGUGUCCAUCUUUAGAGACUGUCUCCUUGGGAGCGUGGGGUGAGGGCUGGUCCUUGAGAAAGGAUGAGUGAUUCCUUCUUGUUUUAGGGCUGUGAUUUUUUUCCUGUUUUUGGGGCAUCCUGACCACAUUUGAGUGCUGGCAGAUGUAAGGGCAGCAUUGAUCUCUGGAGGCUGUCUCCUGUGGAGCAUGGGGCUGUUAUGCACUGCUUCCAACCGUGCAGAGUUGUUUAAGGGCAUUCUGUGCACCCUUAGGUGUAAUAAGUCUUCAUCUUUAUAGGAAGCCAAGCUCUGGUUCCCAACAGCGUGAUGAAGUGAAGCCCCUGCUCUGCUGAAUACUGGGACUGGCCCAGAGAGGCUCUGACGGGUAUGGAUUAUCCCAGCUGGAGUACUUGGUACCAUUGGUGGUGAUCUCGUCCAACUGCCACACAACGAACAGGAACAUCCACAGCCAGAUCAGGCUGCCCAGAGGCUGACCCAGCCUCACCUUGGAAGGGACAGGGCAUCCAUCAUGUCUGGGUAAUCUGUUCUGCUGUGUCACCACCAUCACUGUACAAGAUUUUCUUUAUAUCUAGGCUAAAUCUUUCCUUGUUCUUCCCUUCAGGUGUUGAAAGGCUGUUACCAGAUCACCUCGGAGCCUUCACUUCUGCAGGCUGAACAGCUCCAGCUCUCUGUCUUUAUAGGAAAGGCAUUCCAUCCCUCGGUUCAUAUCUGUGGCCAUUCUCUGGAUGUGCUCCAACAGCUCCAUGUCUGUCCUGCACUGCGGGCAUCCAUAUCCACACACAGCACCUCCAGGUGAGGCCUCCCAGCGCAGAGCAGAGGGGCAGGACCGCCUCCCUUUGCCUGCUGACCACACAUCUUUGGAUGGAGCCCAGCAUACGGUUGGCUUUCUGGGCUGGAAGGCACAUUGCUGAGUGCCACUACUCAGCCUGUUGAGGUCCCUCUGGAUGGCAUCCCGUCCUUCUGGUGUGUCACCACACCCCACAGCUCGGUGUCAUUAGGGUGCACUCCACCCCACUGUCAGUGUCACUGAUGAAGGGGCAAUCCCAGAUGUUUGCACAAACUCAGCAAAGAACACCUUGAGAGCAGCCCCACAGAGAAGGAUUUGCAGAUCCUGGUGGGUGAGAAGCUGGACAUCAGCCAGCAGAGCGGGCUUGCAGCCUGGAAGGCCAGCUGUGUUCUGGGCUGCAUUAAAAGAGGAGCGGCCAGCAGGGAGAGGGAGGUGAUCGUCCCUAUCUACUCGGCUCUUGUGAGGCUUCAUCUGCAGCGCUGCAUCCGGGCCUGGGGCCCCCAGCACAGGAAGGACGUGGAGCUCACGGAGCGGGUCCAGAGGAGGCACUGAGAUGAUCAGAUGGUUGGAGCAGCUCUCCUACAAGGAAAGGUUGAGGGAAGUGGGCUUGUUCAGCCUGGAGAAGAGAAGGCUUGGGGGGGACCUCAUUGCAGCCUCACAGUACUUGAAGGUGGGAACAGCAGGAAGGGGAAUGGCUGUUUACGAGGGUGGAUCGUGAUAGGACAAGGGGGAAUGGUUUUAAACUGAGACAGGGGAGGUUUAGGUUGGUUAUUAGGAGGAAGCUUUUCAUACAGAGGGUGUUGACGCACUGGAAUGUGCCUCAGAGUCCCUUCCAGGAGGAUCUGCUCCAUGACUUUUUGCAGCACAGAGGUGAGACUGACAUGUUGGCAGUUCCCAGGGUCACACUUUAUAUCUGCAGUAACAGCUGUGCUGUCACCUUUUUUCUGCUCACCAGGGACUUCACCUGACUGCCUCAACUUCUCAAAUACCACUGAGAGUGGCUCGGUGACUGCAGCACUGAAUUCCCUCAGAGCUCUGGGCCUCGUCUCAUCAGGACCCAAAGACUCCUGGAUGCUCGGGUCCUCAGGUGGUCCAGAACCUGAUCUCCCAUCACAGUGUGGGAUAGGGAGGGGUCUGUGGGACCGGCAUUGCUUCCUCAAUCCCCACCUACCAAACCAAAGGUGAGAGCGGUGUAUAAUGAGCAGUUAUCAGAGAAGAUGGAAGAUGGAUGGUGUUGGGUACCUGAGCCUUCUCCUUGUCUGUUGUUCCCAGCUCAGUGCUGCCAGUAAGCAGCAUCGUGCGCAGAGUGCAGCCACAUUGAUCAGAGAAAGGAGUGCAGGUUUGUGAAAGAGGCACAUCUGCAGGGCAGUGCCUUCAUUACUGCGUUGUGUCCCACAGGUGGCAGCAGGCUGCGGCACUCCCGAGUGCCGUAACGACUGCAUGGAGAUGCGUGGCUCUUAUGGGAACAACAAGGAACCGGAAUUUGCAUUUCCUGGAAUGCCCGGAACCCUGCUUUGUUGGCUGGUAAUUGUCUGCCCAGCAGGUGGCAGCGGAGUUGCGUUGCUCCUGAGCACUUUAAGGACAGCACGGAGAUGCGCGGCUCUUCAGGCAGCAGCAAGGAACUGGAAUCUGCAUUUCCUGGGAUGCCCGGAACCCCGCUUUGCUGGCCGGUAAUUGUCUGCCCAGCAGGUGAAGAUGCCUUGGACGCUUCCAGUCGAUGACUUCCCCCUGCGACGCCAUCGGCUUUCCAGGCCUCCCACACUCACCGCCAGCUCGGUUCGGUCAACCGUUACCCGAAUCCCCGCUCCGUUCCCUUUCCAUGAUCUUCCCGUCACUCUGCCACAAGCCCCUACCAAGGUCAUCGCAGACAGCGUGUGGGAUGCGGCGCUCGGUCUCAUUGCAGUUCAUCCCAUCGGCCUCAGCCCAGCGAUCCAACCCACCCGCACCCUUCCUGAGGGCCCUUCUGCUCCCAGGCCAAUCAACGCUUCCUUCUGAUGCCAUCUGAGUUCCCUCCAGGCCAUUUUCAGACUCGUGCCACUUUGUGGCCAUUUUGAGAGUUGUGCUGAUUUCAGCAUGUCCAUUCAAUUGACUUCAACCAAAUUGGCUUUAGCUUGACAUUCAAUUAAUGUAAACCAAAUUGGCUUUAGCUUUACAUUCGAUUGACUUCAACCAAAUUGGCUUUAGUUUUACAUUCAAUUAAUGUAAGCCAUAUUGGCUUUAGCUUUGCCUUGGUUACGGGGUUGGGUUAGCCUUGCUUUGUUUGUUCCUAGGCAGGGCUACCCCAACCCCGUAACCAAGGGCCGUUGGAGGCGAUUUUGUUCCUCCCGGCCAGUCUGAGACUCGCGCCCCAUUGCGGCCAUUUUGAGAGUUGUGCUGAUUUCAGCAUCUGCGUUCAAUUUAUCUCAACCAAAUUGGCUUUAGCCUUGCAAUCAUUUUGCAUCAACCAAAUUGGCUUUAGCUUUGCAUUCAAUUGACUUCAACCAAAUUGGCUUUAGCUUUGCAUUCAAUUGGCUUCAACCAAAUUGGCUUUAGCUUUACAUGCAAUUGACUUCAUCCAAAUUGGCUUUAGCUUUACAUGCAAUUGACUUCAUCCAAAUUGGCUUUAGCUUUACAUUCAAUUAAUGUAAGCCAAAUUGGCUUUAGCUUUGCCUUGGUUACGGGGUUGGGUUAGCCUUGCUUUGUUUGUUCCUAGGCAGGGCUACCCCAACCCCGUAACCAAGGGCCGUUGGAGGCGAUUUUGUUCCUCCCGGCCAGUCUGAGACUCGCGCCCCAUUGCGGCCAUUUUGAGAGUUGCUCUGAUUUCAGCAUCUGCGUUCAAUUUAUCUCAACCAAAUUGGCUUUAGCCUUGCAAUCAUUUUGCAUCAACCAAAUUGGCUUUAGCUUUGCAUUCAAUUGACUUCAACCAAAUUGACUUU